AGUGAACGCUGGCGGUAGGCCUAACACAUGCAAGUCGAACGGCAGCACAGUAAGAGCUUGCUCUUACGGGUGGCGAGUGGCGGACGGGUGAGGAAUACAUCGGAAUCUACUUUUUCGUGGGGGAUAACGUAGGGAAACUUACGCUAAUACCGCAUACGACCUACGGGUGAAAGCAGGGGAUCUUCGGACCUUGCGCGAUUGAAUGAGCCGAUGUCGGAUUAGCUAGUUGGCGGGGUAAAGGCCCACCAAGGCGACGAUCCGUAGCUGGUCUGAGAGGAUGGCCAGCCACACUGGAACUGAGACACGGUCAAGACUCCUACGGGAGGCAGCAGUGGGGAAUAUUGGACAAUGGGCGCAAGCCUGAUCCAGCCAUACCGCGUGGGUGAAGAAGGCCUUCGGGUUGUAAAGCCCUUUUGUUGGGAAAGAAAAGCAGCAGGUUAAUACCCCGCUGUUCUGACGGUACCCAAAGAAUAAGCACCGGCUAACUUCGCG
rnacentral:rRNA from 1 species